GGACGGGUGAGUAAUGUCUGGGAAACUGCCUGAUGGAGGGGGAUAACUACUGGAAACGGUAGCUAAUACCGCAUAACGUCGCAAGACCAAAGAGGGGGACCUUCGGGCCUCUUGCCAUCGGAUGUGCCCAGAUGGGAUUAGCUAGUAGGUGGGGUAACGGCUCACCUAGGCGACGAUCCCUAGCUGGUCUGAGAGGAUGACCAGCCACACUGGAACUGAGACACGGUCCAGACUCCUACGGGAGGCAGCAUG
rnacentral:rRNA from 1 species